rnacentral:rRNA from 1 species
GUGGGGAAUAUUGGACAAUGGGCGCAAGCCUGAUCCAGCCAUGCCGCGUGAGUGAUGAAGGCCCUAGGGUUGUAAAGCUCUUUCACCGGUGAAGAUAAUGACGGUAACCGGAGAAGAAGCCCCGGCUAACUUCGUGCCAGCAGCCGCGGUAAUACGAAGGGGGCUAGCGUUGUUCGGAAUUACUGGGCGUAAAGCGCACGUAGGCGGACAUUUAAGUCAGGGGUGAAAUCCCGGGGCUCAACCCCGGAACUGCCUUUGAUACUGGGUGUCUGGAGUAUGGAAGAGGUAAGUGGAAUUCCGAGUGUAGAGGUGAAAUUCGUAGAUAUUCGGAGGAACACCAGUGGCGAAGGCGGCUUACUGGUCCAUUACUGACGCUGAGGUGCGAAAGCGUGGGGAGCAAACAGGAUUAGAUACCCUAGUAGUCC